rnacentral:rRNA from 1 species
UACGAAGGGGGCUAGCGUUGCUCGGAAUUACUGGGCGUAAAGCGCACGUAGGCGGAUUGUUAAGUCGGGGGUGAAAUCCUGGAGCUCAACUCCAGAACUGCCUUCGAUACUGGCGGUCUCGAGUUCGGGAGAGGUGAGUGGAACUGCGAGUGUAGAGGUGAAAUUCGUAGAUAUUCGCAAGAACACCAGUGGCGAAGGCGGCUCACUGGCCCGAUACUGACGCUGAGGUGCGAAAGCGUGGGGAGCAAACAGG